GAAUUACAAGUGGUAGAAACUUCACAAACAGUGGUCUCAGCAACAAUCUCUUUUCAUAUUACAGAAUGCUGGGCACAAACUGACCCAAGGACAUUUGGAUACAUCGCACCUUCAGUUAAUUCCAGAUUCUGAGAAAACUGUCCCAAGACCCUGUAGCUACAGCCAUGCCAUCAUCAGUAACACCUAAACAGCUGACACGGUUGUCAUGGCCGGCAAGGACACCUGGAAGAGAAGAUGGAGGAGGUUAACAGCUGAAGCUUUUCAAGUUUUGUACAUUACUUUUCAGGUUAAAUUCACCUCAAGACACCCUGGAAGAGGUUUUUGUUUGUUUUUAAGAGUGGUUAAGUGACAGAAGAAGUAUCCUCCUCUAUGUUUUAUCUUAAAAGCAAUAUUAGCUCCUCAACAUUAUGAGUUAGCUCCUAUCUUGGGAAGUCCUGAACCCUUGAACCAAAUAUUUUAACUAUUUUGCAUUUGGAUUUUCCCAGUAUAUGAUAUAAUAAAGUAAAUAAAUAAAU